GAUGAACGCUGGCGGCGUGCCUAAUACAUGCAAGUCGAGCGAACAGACGAGGAGCUUGCUCCUCUGACGUUAGCGGCGGACGGGUGAGUAACACGUGGAUAACCUACCUAUAAGUCUGGGAUAACUUCGGGAAACCGGUGCUAAUACCGGAUAAUAUAUUGAACCGCAUGGUUCAAUAGUGAAAGACGGUUUUGCUGUCACUUAUAGAUGGAUCCGCGCCGCAUUAGCUAGUUGGUAAGGUAACGGCUUACCAAGGCAACGAUGCGUAGCCGACCUGAGAGGGUGAGCGGCCACACUGGAACUGAGACACGGUCCAGACUCCUACGGGAGGCAGCAGUAGGGAAUCUUCCGCAAUGGGCGAAAGCCUGACGGAGCAACGCCGCGUGAGUGAUGAAGGUCUUCGGAUCGUAAAACUCUGUUAUUAGGGAAGAACAAAUGUGUAAGUAACUAUGCACGUCUUGACGGUACCUAAUCAGAAAGCCACGGCUAACUACGUG
rnacentral:rRNA from 1 species